GCUCAGAGGAGGAGACAGGCUAGUGAGCGCAUGGGCUUGACUCUCCUGCAAGGAGUUACGUGGCCAGAGCGCAGAACGAGAAGCUCGAUUCAUCUACUCCUGGACUCUCACGUGUUAAGAUCACAAACCCUGAGCCAUGACCGGAGAAGCUGAACCGAAGGUUUCCCGAAUGACUCGAAGGACUCCACACAGCCUUUGGUGAUGACUGGCUGGGAUCCUGACUCCCACGGCAGGCUGUGGGCUCCUGGCAGGAGAGGGGUGUUUUCCUGCACAUCUUUGUCUCCCCUCAGCUCACACACCAGGGCACCCCUGGGAGAUGCGGAAUGAACAAGGGACCAAAGAGGCUCAGCCUCCAGGAAGGCCCGUGGGGCUCGGGAGACCGUGGAUUCCCAGAGAUCCAGCCCCUCCAAGAGCAGCCUUGCUCUUCCCCUAGCAGGGCCCGCUGUCACCACCAGAAUGCCUUUUCUUUCUCCCGGAAUACGAAUGCAGGAACUGCGGGGAAGGAAGCGUGUAGAAGCCGCUUGAUGACUUUCCUCAUUGUCUCUGAGCCAGGCAUCCCCAGCAGGGUCAGAGCCUACUCCCUGCUCCUCCCACCCGCCAGAUGGCUCCCUGAAACAGGCAGGGCUAAUUUUACAGCCAGAAGGAGGCUGUGAGGAUGGCACACUCCUGCCUCGGGGACUUUCAUACCCUGGCAUCUUGAUGGAUCAGGCUCCUUCCCAGAGAGCAAGGCCUCGGAACCCAGAGCCAGGAC